UUAGCUUAGAGUUUGAUCCUAGCUCAGGGUGAACGCUGGCGGCGUGGAUAAGGCAUGCAAGUCGAGGGACCCCUCACCCAGUCUCGUAAAUAUUACAACUGGUGAGAACAACCAUGACCAAGUAUUUGUUGGUCUGGGUGAGGGGGACCGGCAGACGAGGUAGUAACACGUAGGAAUGCACCUCAUAGUCAGGAAUAACUACGGGAAACCGUAGCUAAUACUUGAUAGUCCCUCCCACCAACUUUGUUAUUGUCUUUUUAAGUAAGGGGUAAACCCCCACACCAACUUUGGCAUUAAGCCGGAGGCGGGUCGUGGUCGGGUUUGUCAUCUUAACUCGGGUAAUGUUAUUAGCUUCAAUAGCUUAAAUUACACGGCUUAAAAACUAGACGAUGCCAAAGUUGGUGUGGGGGUAAAGAUUUAUCGCUAUGAGAGCAGCCUGCGGAGUAUCAGCUUGUUGGUAGUGUAAAGGACUACCAAGGCUAUGACGCUUAGGGGAGGUGAGAGCCUGACCCCCACCGAUGGGACUGAGACACGGCCCAUACUCCUACGGGAGGCCGCAGUCGAGAAUCUUCCGCAAUGGGCGAAAGCCUGACGGAGCGACGCCGCGUGAUGGAUGAAGUUCUGCGGAACGUAAACAUCUUUUAUAGGGGAGGAAGUUUAUUGACGUUACCCUAUGAAUAAGAGGCACCUAAUCACGUGCCAGCAGGUGCGGUAAUACGUGAGCCUCAAGCGUUACCCGGAUUUAUUGGGCGUAAAGGGUGUGUAGGCGGUUUUGUUAGUCUCCUGUUAAAGCCUCUGGCUUAACCAGAGAAGUGCAGGGGAAACGGCAAAACUAGAGGAUGCGAGGGGUUUGUGGAACUCAUGGUGUAGGGGUGGUAUCCGUUGAUAUCAUGGGGAACACCGAAAGCGAAGGCAACAAACUGGCGCACUCCUGACGCUGAGACACGAAAGCGUGGGUAGCGAAUGGGAUUAGAUACCCCAGUAGUCCACGCCCUAAACGAUGUCCGCUGGCUUUUCGGAGUAUCGACCCUCUGAGAGGCGAAGCUAACGCGUUAAGCGGACCGCCUGGGUAGUACGGCCGCAAGGCUAAAACUCAAAGGAAUAGACGGGGGCUCGCACAAGCGGUGGAGCGUGUGGCUUAAUUCGACACUAAGCGAAGAACCUUACCAGGGCUUGAAACCGAGACGACAAUUCUGUGAAAGUAGAAUUUUCUUCGGACGGCUCGGCAGGUGACGCGUGGCUGUCGUCAGUUCGUGAUUUGAAUUGUUCCCUUAAGUGGGGUAACGAACGCAACCCUCAUUGCCUGUUACAAGUGUCAGGCGAGACUGCUCCCCCACGGGAGAGGAAGGCGAGGAUGACGCCAAGUCAGCACGUCCCUUUGAUGUCCUGGGCUGCACACGCGCUACAAUGGGUGAUACAACGGGGCGCGACGCCGAGAGGCUGAGCAAAUCCUUAUAAAGUCAUCCCCAGUUCGGAUUGAGGUCUGCAACUCGACCUCAUGAAGUUGGAAUCGCUAGUAAUCGCAGGUCAGCAACACUGCGGUGAAUACGUUCUCGAGCCUUGUACUCACCGCCCGUCAAGUCAAGGGAGCCGGGAGUACCCGAAGUCUCACUUUAUGUGGGCCGAAGGUAAGUUCGGUAACAGGGACUAAGUCGUAACAAGGCACGGGUAGCGGAAGCUGUUCGUGGAUCAAUUCCAAU
rnacentral:rRNA from 1 species